rnacentral:lncRNA from 1 species
CCAUUUUAAAUGGUAAAAUCUGCACUUUUAUUUCAAAAAGAAAGAAAUGCCCCUUUUAAUCAUUAAUUUGGAAAUGCAAACCUUUCUUGAAACAUUUAGUCUUAUAUUGGAUAAUAGUGCAUGCAUGAUAUGUUUUUAAUCAUGCAGAUUAAAGCAUUCCUUAGAUAACAGUACAUAUUAAAAUACAUUUAGCUAGCAUAAUCUUAUUAAUUUCUUGUUCUCACAUUCAUGCAUAGAUCGACUUAAGCAUGACCUCCUCCUCCUCCACUUCCACCUCCUUCACCUCCACCAUAUCCACCUGCACCUCCAUAUCCAGCACCACUACCAGCGCCGCCUCCACUUCCACCACCAUACCCAGCUCCAGCAGCACCAUAUGCAGCN